UCUGUGGAUCUGUUGGGGCGGUAUAAAAAUUAUAGUGGGUCUAGGGUUUCUGGGAUAAUGGUGUUGAUGUGAGCCAUGACCAGGGGUGGACUGAAACAAUAAUUCAGGCUGGGAAUUUGACUCCAUCCCAGGCCACCCUGUUCACGCAAACCACCAGACCGCUAAUUUUGUAGGCUAACCUCUAUUUGUUGACGUAACGGGUACCAAACUAGUUAUACAUUUGGCCACUAUGUUCAUCGGGGAAGAAAGUUAUCCACAUUACAAAAUACAAACAUUUGGGGCUGACCAACAAGUAGCAUAUCUGAACACUGAGUUUUCAAUGUAUGCUAUGGCUAUGGGUGCACCCUCACCCAUAGCCUCCAAAAACCCAUAGCCCACCAAUCAUAGCUCAUAAAAAUGUACACGGCUAGACACAAAACUAUUAGCCUACACUUUUUAAAAAGAGAAUGAGAUAUACAGAGUUAGCUCAAAUGUUCAGUUAGUAUCUUUACAUUCCAGCAUCAAGCAUAUCAAAAGUAUCAAAAAACUUCACACGCGCACAUUCACUGAACUUGAACAUAACCUACAACAAUGUACAGUAAGUAAGUAAAAUACAAAAGUCGAAAAAGCACUCCCCUACAAAAGAAUGUAGAUUACAAUGUUCACUCACUGGUGUCCAUUAAGCAAACAACACAAAACAUAAACACAUCUAUACACUGAGUCAAUGAAAUUGAACAUUGGCUACAUAACUGCAAGUAUAAUACAAAAGUUAAAAAAACAUGCCUUUGCACAAAAGCUUUAACUCACAGCAAAUUUUCUUUCACCCUUGUCAGCCUUUUAAGGAAGAGUCAUAGCAUAACUACUUUAGAGUAACCAGUAAGUAAUUACCACUAGUAAACCAGUAGGCGGCGCAGUAACUCACUGCUCUAUGCCAUCUUGUCAAUGAUGUCAUCUUUGUCAAGUCCCAUAAGAAUCUCCUUCUCUGUUGCCAUCAAAAAGAAAACUUCAAGAUUCUCUAGAGUGACGGAGGUUCUUAGUUCUUCACGAAUUUCAGGCUGGAGAAGGUCCUCUCACAAGUCACCUGAGUGAUGGAUAGGGUGAGGAGGAACUUGUAGCCCAAACCAAUGAUGUGAUACGCAUCCGCGAGCAGAUUGUGCUGAGACAGGAGAAGAUAGCAGCAUAUCAGGCAGUUUUUACAUGUGGUACAACUUCUGCUCACCAACUCCACACUUUCAUCAGGAUCCUCAAAGCCUUCCCCUGAUUCAUCACUGGUGGCGGCGGCGGCCCUGGUGUUGUACUCACUCCUCCAAUGCUGACUGCCUCAGUCUUUCCCACUGUUGUGCAAGGCUGAUCAGUUCAGCCUGCAAUGCCUUAACAGUGGCAUGUUCAUCAAAUUCCAGUAAGCAUUGAAUAGCAUUCUCACAUAGGUGUUCCUUUUGUCCAGGUGGGAAAGGGCAGUGUGGAGCUCCUGAGCUCCUUCAUGGCUGUCAUUGGGAGGCCCUUUUCUCUGAUCUCAGGAAAAUGCUUAAGAUUCAUGCAGGAGACAUCUGCACACAGCACUGCAUCUGCCGCAUAACGGAGGUGAACACUUUCAACAACAGUGUCCAGUACCACAUUGUGGAUGUUGAUUUUUGUCAUCCAUGUCUGCAUUAGCACCGGGCUCGUCUUCUGCCAACUCACCUGGUUUUCGCUUAUUUUUUUGUUGUUCUCUUCUCUGGGAGAGCAUUCUGAGCUUCGGCGUCACAGUUCCUGCUGCUCCUCCAGAAUGCCACCGGCCCGACUCAACAAAGUCGUCUGCUGCCCUCUUCACACCCUCAAAGUCUCGGGCACACUUUCUCAGGUUAUCCUCCGUUCCCGUCAACAAGUGCUGUGCUGUUACGACAUCCAUGCCACUUGUUUGCAAGCAUUUAGAGAGAGGGGACGUCUACUCAAAAAUCCAGAGAAAAACCUCAGCUAUAAUUAUGGUUUCAUACUUUAGGCGAGCAUCCUUGUACCCUUGGGCCUUGCUUCAGAUAGCAAGGUUUUAUGGUCACAUCCUUUUCAAUUCUUUCCAUCAAUUAUUUUCAGUUAGCACAAGGUUGAGGACAUGUGAGUAACACCAUAUGUGUACUUGGUUAGGAGACUCUCCUGUGAGCAAUGCAGAGAAGCCCCUGUAUUGUCCCUGCAUAUUAGCUGCUCCGUCUGUUGCAUUGCCAACACACUGUUUGAUAUCGAUAUCCAUCUUCACAAAGGUCUGUUUCACAAGGUCCACAAAGUACUGUCCAGUCGAUGACUCGCAGUCAAUGACCACAAUGAGUCUCUCGUGGGCAACAUCAGUGACAUAUCGCAGAACUACUGCACACGGGUCUUUGGAUGUUAAAUCUUGUGUUGUGUCCAUUUGUAAUUGAGAACAUCCUUGCCUUUCUCACUUCAACAGCAAUUCUCUGCUGAAUCCACAUUCUGAUGACUUCAAUUACUUUAUUUGCUGUUGUUUUGGACGUCAUAGUUACCACGGACCCUCUUCCUUUACUUCCCAUCUUCUCAAUGCAAUCACUAACAUGCUCUUGUAGGCAGACAUCAUAUUUGCUUAACAAACAAUAUAAGCUUAAGAAACAUAUUUUCCAAGUUAUGUACAGCUUCGUGUCUGUGUCCUCUGUAGCUAAGCCCACAUUUACCAAUAACUUUAACUACAUCAAUCACACGUUCCAUAACCUACCUCCUCCUUCUGACCUGGUCUCGUUGAACUGACAUUUGCUUAUCACUCAGAAGGGUACGGAUGUCUGCUCUGCUGGCUCUGAGGAAAAAGGAUUCGCACUUUCUCUAUGGGUCUUGCUUCUCUCAUGUUCCUGUACUCUCCGAUGGGCAUGUUUCCAGGCCUGCAUGCCUCCUUUGACAAAUGCACUACCACUGGCUGGAGGUUUUGCGAAUGCAAGACAUACUGAGCAGAGCAAGGAGUGAGUUACUUCAUUGUAUGUCAGCCAUUUUAUGUUUGUGCCAUCUUUGGAGUGGAAUACAUUGGGAAUGACUCUUUUGGGGGGGGGGGGGUUGUUUUGGUUGGUACUGAAAAAAAAGAAGUCAAAUUCCAUGUACUGAGGACGGGCAAAAUAAUCAAAUGGAUUAUCUCUCUCUCUCUCUCUCUCCAGAAUGAGAUUACAGUUUUUCUCAAUUGCUAAAACACUAAAACCCAUUGGCUGAACAAAGUUCUCAGUUGCCUGGACUCAUUUAGCUAAUUAUGCAGUCUGUUGUCAAUACCUUAAACCAUUUCACAUGGUAAAACACAAUUUGCAGAUCUCACUUAGACUUUUCAGUAAAACUCUAAACACAUUCUCAUUCAUACUGGUAAACACAAGUGGCAAAAAUCAAAUACAAAUAGAGAACAUUUGUCAUUGAUUGAACACAACCACUCAAAAUUGAUUUAACCUGUUUCAAAUGAUGCGACACAACCAAUAUAAGCCAGUUCAGAGUACAAACAGGUUGUUGAAGGUGGGAAGGAGAAAGUCUGAGAAUGGAUACUGUAGUACAGUGCAUUGUAGGCUGCAUACUGUACAAUGGACAAAUUGCAUGGCCCUGAACAUUGUGCUUUCCAUUUAUUACAGUUUUUUCCAAUUGCUAACACACUAAAAUUACAUGCACAGGACAAUUAUUUAAACUGACACACAGAGAGCAAAACCUCUUUUAAACACAUUUUCUGCUUUUCACACAUUUUGCAAUUCAAUUAAUUUUACAGUUUUUUCCAACUGCUUCCACACAAUCUUUUCAUGUCACACUAUUUGUGAAACCUCUCACUCAAAGUGCAAAACUACACACCAAAUAUCCAAAACCAUAAGCUAUUUCUCAGCCUUUGACUCAGUUGUCAAUUGCAUAAAACACUUUUUUUCAAAACACUACACUCAAUUCUCUAUCUAAAACACAAAAAUCUAACAGGAAGUGACUUGCUUUCCUUUUCCAAACACAACCAAUCAAAAUGCAACACUUAUUCACCAGGUCACACACACACUCCUCACAUGUGCAAACACUAGCUUAACUGAUCACUAACCAAUCACUGCUUUACUGUAGUAUAGGCCUAUAAAUAGGUCAAAGGUCAGAUUACCUGUUUUGAACAAUGGAUGACAAAAAUGGACAGAGAGCAAGAGGAGUAGGAGGGAUAGGAAGAGGAAGAAGAGGAUGAGGGCAAAGAAGAGAAGGAAGGAGAGCCAUCUCUGAUGAGAUUAGGGCAACACAACGGUUUGACCAUGAGAGAGGCUAGACUGAGAGUCCAGCCCAACUUGAGUCGAUUUACAGUGGCGUCCAUAAUUCAAACCUUCAGAAAUGAGAACAGGUAUGCAACUAUCUAAUGACUAUUUUAGCAUUGCAGUAAUGCACUGUAAAAUACGUAUGACUGCACUGUAAUGUACUGUAAAAUACGUAUAUUGCAUAAUCAUUUGUAACUCUAAGCCAUCCAUUUACUGCACUGCAUUGAAUGAAUGAGGUUGGUUAUCAUGCUGUACUACAUUUUUUUGUACAUUGUUUACAGUUCCUAUGCUGAACACAUACUGUGUUUGAAUUCUGUACAGAGUGGAAAGGCAAAGACAUCAUGGAGGACGAGGACGCUUGUUUACAGAUGUACAAGAGACUGCAAUUAUAAAUAUGGUUUUGGCCAACAAUGCAAUUAGGAUUCGAGAGAUAAGAGAGCAUAUCUUGAAUAAUGACACCAUAUUUAACAACAUCAAUGCUGUAAGCCUGUCCACCAUACAACGCAUCCUCCAACGGCACCGAGUGACGAUGAAACAACUUUACAAGAGAGUAUUGGAGCUGGAUGCCCAUGUAAUUCGCCAUUAAUUUAUUUAUGUGGAUGAGGUUGGCUUCAACCUCACCAAAACCAGGCGCCGCGGAAGAAAUGUAAUAGGACUGAGGGCAAUUACCAAUGUCGCUGGACAGCGUGGGGGUAAUAUGUGUGCUGCCAUCACUCAAAACAGGGUCCCCCAUCACAAUGCCACACUGGGUCCGUACAACACCGGCCAUAUGCUCACUUUUCUGGAUGCAAUUUACACAAUACUUGUCCCUGAUUCAGAUCAGGAGCCUGCUAGAUUUGUGGUUUUAUAGGACAAUGUUAGUUUUCACCGGGCUGUUCUGGUCCAAAACUGGUUUGCCACCCAUCCACAAUUUGUAGUUUUGUACCUACCCCCAUAUUCACCUUUUCUAAAUCCCAUAGAGGAAUUAUUUUCAGCCUGGCGCUGGAAAGUGUAUGAUCGCCAACUCUAUGCCCGCAUGCCGCUUCUCCAGGCAAAGGAGGAUGUAUGUGGGGACAUACAGGUUGCUUCUGUCCAAGGUUGGAUACGCCAUGCUAGGAGAUACUUCCCUCGAUGUUUGGCAAGAGAAAACGUAUCUUGUGAUGUGGAUGAAGUAUUGUGGCCAGACCCAGGCCGGAGAAGAGAUGAAGCGUAGCUUAGCACUGGUGACUGCCCGUCCCCCUACCAAUUCCUGUACUGCCCCCCCGGGACCCCACACACACAAUUGUGUUCUUUACUGUAUUCUAAAGAAUAUGUUUUGGGGUUACAUAUGUUUAUGGUUUUGUUGUAUGCUACUGUAUACAACAGUAAUGUUUGGCCUAAUAAAUAUUUUCUGUUUCUACAUUGCA